UACGUAGGGGGCUAGCGUUGUCCGGAAUCAUUGGGCGUAAAGCGCGCGUAGGCGGCCAGAUAGGUCCGGUGUGAAAGUCACAGGCUCAACCUGUGAAUGCCGCUGGAAACUGUCUGGCUAGAGUCCGGAAGGGGCGAGUGGAAUUCCUGGUGUAGCGGUGAAAUGCGCAGAUAUCAGGAGGAACACCAAUGGCGAAGGCAGGUCUCUGGGCUGACACUGACGCUCAUGCACGAAAGCGUGGGGAGCAAACAGG
rnacentral:rRNA from 1 species